CUAUGUUUCAGGCUACUAGGAUACUAAUUGUUAAUUCGUUUGGACGUGUUGGACUACGUUCCAAUUAAUAGACGUCAUACCUCUAAACCUGUAAAUGGAUUUUUCAUUAGAGAUGGAUGGAAUGCUUGUAAGUCUGUAUUCUGUCAGCCGAUUGGAAUUGCUGUGUUAGGUUUGUUGUGUCCUCAUGAGUUAUGAGGAUUGAGGAGUGUUGAAAGGACAACUGUUUGUUGUGCCCUCAUGAGUUAUGAGGAUUGAGGGGUGUUGAAGCAUUCAAGGAUUCAAGGUUCUUUGCUUUCCAGUUUUUUCUUUUCUUUUCUUGAUUAUUGACUAUUUUCGACAUCGGCUACCUUACAAGUACAUGUGAUGCUUCAUGCUUGUGUUC
rnacentral:sRNA from 1 species